rnacentral:rRNA from 1 species
GAUGAACGCUGGCGGCGUGCCUAAUACAUGCAAGUCGAGCGAACAGACGAGGAGCUUGCUCCUCUGACGUUAGCGGCGGACGGGUGAGUAACACGUGGAUAACCUACCUAUAAGACUGGGAUAACUUCGGGAAACCGGAGCUAAUACCGGAUAAUAUAUUGAACCGCAUGGUUCAAUAGUGAAAGACGGUUUUGCUGUCACUUAUAGAUGGAUCCGCGCCGCAUUAGCUAGUUGGUAAGGUAACGGCUUACCAAGGCAACGAUGCGUAGCCGACCUGAGAGGGUGAUCGGCCCCCCUGGAACUGAGACACGGUCCAGACUCCUACGGGAGGCAGCAGUAGGGAAUCUUCCGCAAUGGGCGAAAGCCUGACGGAGCAACGCCGCGUGAGUGAUGAAGGUCUUCGGAUCGUAAAACUCUGUUAUUAGGGAAGAACAAAUGUGUAAGUAACUAUGCACGUCUUGACGGUACCUAAUCAGAAAGCCACGGCUAACUACGUG